UACGUAGGGGGGCAAGCGUUGUCCGGAUUUAUUGGGCGUAAAGAGCGUGUAGGCGGCCGUACAGGUCAGCUGUGAAAACUCGAGGCUCAACCUCGAGACGUCGGUUGAAACCGUACGGCUAGAGUCCCGGAAGAGGAGAGUGGAAUUCCCGGUGUAGCGGUGAAAUGCGCAGAUAUCGGGAAGAACACCCGUGGCGAAGGCGGCUCUCUGGGACGGUACUGACGCUGAGACGCGAAAGCGUGGGGAGCGAACAGG
rnacentral:rRNA from 1 species